AGAGUUUGAUCCUGGCUCAGAAUGAACGCUGGCGGCGUGCUUAACACAUGCAAGUCGUACGAGAACUCUUUAGCUUGCUAAAGAUAGUAAAGUGGCGCACGGGUGAGUAACGCGUGGGUAAUCUACCUCCGAAUCGGGAAUAACCAGCCGAAAGGCUAGCUAAUACCGGAUAAUAUCUAUAGAACUUCGGUUUUAAAGAUCAAAGGUGGUCUCUACAUGUAAGCUACUGUUUGGAGAUGAGCCCGCGUACCAUUAGCUUGUUGGUAGGGUAAUGGCCUACCAAGGCUUCGAUGGUUAGCUGGUCUGAGAGGAUGAUCAGCCACACUGGAACUGACACACGGUCCAGACUCCUACGGGAGGCAGCAGUGAGGAAUUUUGCGCAAUGGGGGAAACCCUGACGCAGCAACGCCGCGCGAGUGAUGAAGGCUUUCGGGUCGUAAAACUCUGUCAAGUGGGAAGAACAUGUUUGAUGCUAAUACCAUCAUGCAUUGACGGUACCACUGAAGGAAGCACCGGCUAACUCCGUGCCAGCAGCCGCGGUAAUACGGGGGGUGCAAGCGUUAUUCGGAAUUAUUGGGUGUAAAGGGCGCGUAGGCGGUCUUUUAAGUCAGAUGUGAAAGCCCGGGGCUCAACCCCGGAAGUGCAUUUGAAACUAAGGGACUUGAGUAUGGGAGAGGGAAGUGGAAUUCCUGGUGUAGAGGUGAAAUUCGUAGAUAUCAGGAGGAACACCGGUGGCGAAGGCGACUUCCUGGACCAAUACUGACGCUAAGGCGCGAAGGCGUGGGGAGCAAACAGGAUUAGAUACCCUGGUAGUCCACGCAGUAAACGGUGAACACUAGGUGUAGCGGGUAUUGACCCCUGCUGUGCCGUAGCUAACGCAUUAAGUGUUCCGCCUGGGGAGUACGGUCGCAAGAUUAAAACUCAAAGGAAUUGACGGGGGCCCGCACAAGCGGUGGAGCAUGUGGUUUAAUUCGACGCAACGCGAAGAACCUUACCUGGAUUUGACAUCCCGAGAAGUCUUUCGAAAGAUAGAUGUGCCCUUCGGGGAACUCGGUGACAAGUGCUGCAUGGCUGUCGUCAGCUCGUGUCGUGA
rnacentral:rRNA from 1 species